GGGGGGGUGCUAUAAUGCAAGUUGAGCGCUGAAGGUUGGUACUUGUACCGACUGGAUGAGCAGCGAACGGGUGAGUAACGCGUGGGGAAUCUGCCUUUGAGCGGGGGACAACAUUUGGAAACGAAUGCUAAUACCGCAUAAAAACUUUAAACACAAGUUUUAAGUUUGAAAGAUGCAAUUGCAUCACUCAAAGAUGAUCCCGCGUUGUAUUAGCUAGUUGGUGAGGUAAAGGCUCACCAAGGCGAUGAUACAUAGCCGACCUGAGAGGGUGAUCGGCCACAUUGGGACUGAGACACGGCCCAAACUCCUACGGGAGGCAGCAGUAGGGAAUCUUCGGCAAUGGACGAAAGUCUGACCGAGCAACGCCGCGUGAGUGAAGAAGGUUUUCGGAUCGUAAAACUCUGUUGGUAGAGAAGAACGUUGGUGAGAGUGGAAAGCUCAUCAAGUGACGGUAACUACCCAGAAAGGGACGGCUAACUACGUGCCAGCAGCCGCGGUAAUACGUAGGUCCCGAGCGUUGUCCGGAUUUAUUGGGCGUAAAGCGAGCGCAGGUGGUUUAUUAAGUCUGGUGUAAAAGGCAGUGGCUCAACCAUUGUAUGCAUUGGAAACUGGUAGACUUGAGUGCAGGAGAGGAGAGUGGAAUUCCAUGUGUAGCGGUGAAAUGCGUAGAUAUAUGGAGGAACACCGGUGGCGAAAGCGGCUCUCUGGCCUGUAACUGACACUGAGGCUCGAAAGCGUGGGGAGCAAACAGGAUUAGAUACCCUGGUAGUCCACGCCGUAAACGAUGAGUGCUAGAUGUAGGGAGCUAUAAGUUCUCUGUAUCGCAGCUAACGCAAUAAGCACUCCGCCUGGGGAGUACGACCGCAAGGUUGAAACUCAAAGGAAUUGACGGGGGCCCGCACAAGCGGUGGAACAUGUGGUUUAAUUCGAAGCAACGCGAAGAACCUUACCAGGUCUUGACAUACUCGGGCUAUUCCUAGAGAUAGGAAGU
rnacentral:rRNA from 1 species